AUUUUACCCCAACCGUUAAGUGCAUUGAGACGGCGUUAACUUUGAACUGAGCUGUAAUUUUUUUUUUUAUGUUUUAAAAUCAUUAAAUCCACGUGGCUAUGGUCUUUCUUUUUCCUUCCAAUCACUGAUCACAUUUCACUCAUUCCUCCACCCUCAAACCCUUAAAACCCCCGACUCACACCUUUUCUCCCUCUCAAACUAAAAAAUGUCGUCGUUGUCGACAGUUCAAAAAUUAUGACCUAAUUGAGACAAUUCAAAACUUGAGGACCGAACUGAGAUUUUCACACAAACAUAAGGACCAAGGGAGGGAUUAAGCCUAAAAUAAAAAAAUACAUCUCAACAUCAAUUAAUGCCAUUUGAGACAACUUAACGGUUAGGGUAAAAUGUGUGCAUUUUUACAAAAAUUAUGACCUAAUUGAGACAGUUCAAAACUUGUGGAC
rnacentral:lncRNA from 1 species